GUGGGGAAUUUUGGACAAUGGGCGAAAGCCUGAUCCAGCCAUGCCGCGUGCAGGAUGAAGGCCUUCGGGUUGUAAACUGCUUUUGUACGGAACGAAAAGACUCUGGUUAAUACCUGGGGUCCAUGACGGUACCGUAAGAAUAAGCACCGGCUAACUACGUGCCAGCAGCCGCGUUAAUACGUAGGGUGCAAGCUAUAAUCGGAAUUACUGGGCGUAAAACGUGCGCAGGCGGUUAUAUAAGACAGAUGUGAAAGCCCCGGGCUCAACCUGGGAACUGCAUUUGGUAUUGUAUAGCUAGAGUACGGCAUAGUGGUAUGGAAUUCCGCGUGUAGCAGUGAAAUGCGUAGAUAUGCGGAGGAACACCGAUGGCGAAGGCAAUCCCCUGGGCCUGUACUGACGCUCAUGCACGAAAGCGUGGGGAGCAAACAGGAUUAGAUACCCUGGUAGUCC
rnacentral:rRNA from 1 species